rnacentral:lncRNA from 1 species
UUAAAUGAGAUAACAUACAUAGGAUACUCAACACAAAACCUGGCACACAGUAAGUGCUUACUAAGUGUAAGCAAUUAUACUAACAAGAGCCUGAGCUUUGAAGUCAGAUGAAAACAGAUUUGACUCCUAGCUCUUCGACUUAAAAAUUGCAUGAUCUUAAAUAAGUUAUGUAACCUUUCUGAGCCCCACUUGCCUCAACAGUGCAAGAUUAGUAUGAAUAUGCAGAGACACAUAUGCGAUACCUUUUACUUUUUAUUUGUAUUAUGACCCAUUUCAAACAGGAUUUGUGCUUACCUACCACAAACAAACAAACAGAAACAGCCCAAUGGCUUUCAUUAAAGCAAAUAAUAGAAUUAGCGUGUAGAAAAAGCAAAGGCAGGAAAAAUAAGAAAAAGUCAGAGAUAACACUAGGCUCUUAGAUAACAUCAUAAGAUUAGGUCACAAAUUUGGCUUUGAGCUUCUUAGCAUCCAAGGCAAUAAAGAAGGGAAAUAUGGUUCGUUAGAUGAUUCAUAGUGCCAAGAUAAAUGCAGAGGAGUUCUGAAGAAGAAACCCAGCUAUUCCUAGUUCUGAGACUUAAGAGACUAUAGCACAUGGUGGAUACACAAUAGAUAUAUAAAUGUUAGCUGUUCUCAUCUACAGCACAGAGGAAAGAGUGAGUCUAAGAAUAAGAGCAACAUGGGAGAGGUAACUUUCUAGCUGAACAAGACUGAAGAAAGAUUUUCCAAGUGCCUGGGGGGCUGGAGAGGAGUGGGAGCCUGUACAUAAGGGAAGCAGGUGACAGUAUCUGGACUGUCCCCACACAUUGACAGCAAGGCAGCUUUAAAUGGGGUUUCACACUGGGGUGAAGAUGUUUCCCUCUGGCUGAAAGGCACAGGAACUUUGUCGUAUGAGGAGGCUGGAGGGAAAGGAUGCCUCGCAAGCAUUGUCCAAGCAGCUGUUUUGGUUUAAAGGCUCUCCCUACUGGACAUCUGGUGUUUAAUGGCAAUCCUUUUUUUUUAGUGUGUUUUCUUUUGUUCUGUUUUCCUGAGGACCCAGACUUAGGGUUCUCAAGGAAAGAAAAUGGUCAAGACAGUUGUGGGGAAUGCUGCCCUUUUCCUUCAAUGUAAUGGCCUUCUCAGCCAUUAGAACCAGUGGAGAAAUUGUCACAUGGUGAAAGGGAUGGAGCUUGGAGGUACAAGUGAAGAAGGAAAGGUUCUGGUAUCAUUUAAACAGUAGGGAAAACAAAAACAUAGGAAUAUUGCUUUAACAGGACACCCACAUUCCUUUUCUCUGUGGCGUCCCAGAGAGGAGACUCUCAGAGCUAGAAUUUUAGCUUCUAGCUCCUCAGUUUGCGGAUGAAGACUCUGAGGCCCAGAGGGCUCAAAUAAACAUGUUUACAUCAUUUAGAUCACACAGAUAGUUCACAUCAGAGCCAGGUCUAGGACCUAUGCCUAUGGAUUCCUAGGCCAUAGGGCAUGUAGAAGAAAGUAGUCUUCUAUAACAUAUGUUAUGAUCUAGAGAAGAGACCUGAGGAAGAAGUUUGGGUGUCAGUCUGCAAGGCAGUAAAGCACAUGUGAAAUAGCUGUGAAGAUAUGGUCAGGGGCCUUUCUGCAUUGUAAUGACUAUGCGUUUGCCUCCUGGUGCUGCAGUGGCCACAACCCAACAGCUGCAAUCUCCAUGGAGCUCUCCCUGCUGGCCUGCCAUGGGAGAGCUCAUUGCCCUCAACCCACCUGGUACCUAUGAUGCUUCUUUGCUCAGUAAAUAAGCAUCUGUUCAAUCAUACAUUGUGCUUCACAGUGGAGGUUAAAUAGACAAGGGUAAAUGUGAUAAUCAUUAUAUUAAAGGGUUCUGUGGGAACACAGAAGAGAGAGCAUUUAGCCCUGCCUGGGAGUGGGAAGUGGUCAGGGAAGGUCUCUGAAAGAAAGGCUACCUGAACUUAGACUGAAGUGGGAGUAGGAAUGGACAGGAGGGGAGGGAAGAGGGCAUUGUAAGCAGAGAGUGUCACCAGGGAAGGACACCAUAGCAUAAGAAGGCAUAAAAUGUUCGGAAAAUGGAAAGUGGUUUGAUUUCCCAGAGUUGGGUAUGGAGAGGAGAUAUUUAUUAUGGCAAAAACUGCAAUUACUUUUGCACCAACCUAAUAGUACCAUACACAUCUCUUUUCUUUCUUUUCUUCUUUUUUUUUUUUUUUUUUGAGAUGGAGUCUCUCUCUGUUGCCCAGGCUGGAGUGCAGCGGUGCCAUCUUGGCUCACUGCAACCUCUGCCUCCCAGGUUCAAGUGAUCCUCCUGCCUCAGCCUCCCGAGUAGCUGGGACUACAGGCGUCUGCCACCACACCCAGCUAAUUUUUGUAUUUUUAGUAGAGACAGGGUUUCACCAUGUUGGUCAGGCUGGUCUCGAUCUCCGGACCUUAGGCGAUCCGCCAGUCUCGGCCUCCCAAAGUGCAGGAAUUACAGGUGUGAGCCACCACUCCCGGCCUACACUUGUUUCUUAGAGCCGCUGUAACAAUACACCGUAAACUCGGUGGCUUAAAACAACAAAAAAUGUAGUCUCUCAUAAUUCUGGAGGCCAGAAGUCUGAAAUCAAUAUGUCAACAGGGCCACCAUCCCUCUGAAGGUUUAGGAGGGAAUCUUUCCUUGGCUCUUCCUAGAUUCUGGUGACUUCCAGCACUCCUUGGCAUUCUUGGGUUGUAGCUGCCUUACUCCAAUCUGUCUCUAUCUUCACACGGCUUUCUUCUCUCUCUGUGUAUCUAUCUCUUCUGUGUCUGUAUGUCUUCUCCUCUUCUUAUAGGGACAUCAGUCAUUGGAUUCAGGGCCCAUCCUAAUCCAGUAUGACCUCAUCUUAACACAUUACAUCUCCAAAGAGUUUAUUUUCAAGUAAGGUCACAUUCUGAGGUUCUGGAUGGACAUGGAUUGUGGGAGGACAUGAUUCAACCCACUGUAAGUACUUUACUGAAGAGAGAGUAGCCAUCACUGUUUAGAUUCUCAAAAAAAGACCCCUAAUCCAAAUAGCUUGAAUCACUAUCUAGGUGAAUUUUGAAUUGGGAAAGUAGAAGAGAGACAAGAAGCAGGUUACUCAGACUUAUCAUGACCCUGUCACCCAGUUCCUAACCCCACAACCCAAUCACCUGAAUGAGCUGUUGACAGCCCUUCAUAAUGACUUCUUUGUGUACCUCCUAGUACUCUUCACCUACAGGAUGCCCAACCAACCAACGGGAAUGAGAAACAGGAUGUUACUGGGAACAAGUGUCUCUUUGCUCAUCUCAAGUUCCUUCAGCCAUAAAAUGGGGGUAGAAAUCAUUGCCCAGCCCACCUUAGAGGGUUGCUGGAGGAUUCUAAAAGAUAACUGAUUGAAGAAGUAUAUUGCAAGCUGUAAAGCCCACAGACUUGUUAGAGAAUGGUGUUCUGAUACCCUCUCUUCUCAUAUCACAUUCCCCUCGACACCCCUCUCCCCAACCCUCUGUCAGAAAAUAAGCAGGGGUAGUGGGAUAAACCUAGCAGAAAUCUGUGUUUUCUUCUGCUUUAGACAUGUGAGGAUGGCAGGCUCUGUGAAGAGCAUCCAAGUCCUCCUCUUCUUGGGACUUUGCCCUAAAUAACCUUUGCAUGGACAGAGUGUUGUUGCUUCAAGGUGUUCAUGCCCAGGGCGUUAAAAAUGAGCUAAUUAGGGAUUACGAUUAGGUUUGAAUUCCUGAACGCAACACUUGGUAUUAUUGCUGCCCUCUCAGAGACAAUUGAGUAGUCACUAAUUUCUAAGACUUCAAUACCUUUAGGGCUUCCUGGACUGCCUAGGAUAGGCAUAGCAUGAUCUCAUAAGCCCAGGCUAGUAGCUUAUUAUCUCAGCAAUCAUCUGUUUUCUACUGUUGCUCAGUCUGGAGUGCAGUGGGGUGAUCUUGGCUCACCUCCACCUCCCAGACUCAAGCAAUUCUCCUGCCUCAGCCUCCCAAGUAGCUGAGAUUACAGGUGUGUGCCACUACACCCGGCUAAUUUUUGUAUUUUUAGUAGAGACCAGUUUUGGCCUUGUUGGCCAGGCUGGUGUCAAACUCCUGGCCUCAAGUGAUUCACCAGCCUUGGCCUCCCAAAAU